UUAAAUUGAGAGGAGGGAGUGGAGUAAACGCGGAGGAAAAGAGCAUUAUCAGAGAUCGAUAGGUGUAAAGCGUCUGUAGGCUGUUGUGGAAGUCAGAGGGGAAAGGUUUAGGCAUAAGGAAGAAAUGGCCAUUGAUGAUGUGGGGAUUGAAUAUGUGUGAGGUAACGAGAAUAGGUAGGGGAGCGGUGAAAUGCAAAGAGAUUACAUGGAAUACGAAGUGCGAAGGCAGGUUACUAAAAAAUGAUUGACGCUGAUGGACGAAAGCGUGGGUAGCGAACAGGAUUAGAUACCCGUGUAGUC
rnacentral:rRNA from 1 species